GGCUUGGAGAAUUGGAGUACCGAAGAUUUCGGAUGAAGAUGAUUGGAAUAGUAGGAGAGUGACCUAGGUUUUUACAUAAUACUUAUAACAUGUAUAUAUUCGUAAUUGGAUAACGUUGUCAACUGAUAGAAGAUGGACACCUUUCCUUCCGUUAUUCUGGAAUAGGAAUUAGAACAUCCUAUGGAGAUUUGAUGAAAUAAAAAGUUGACUAUGAUACGAGAAUACAUAAGUCAACAAACAGGAUUGGAGUACCGAAGAUUUCGGAUGAAGAUGAUUACAGCGAGAAUUUGGCACAUCUUGAUUAGCACUUCAAAUAGGGAAGAUUAUUUUAACUCUUAACGGGCGCAUGUCAUUUCCUACGUGACAUUCUUAUUGUACCAGACGUUUAUCAAGUCGGACGUAACGAAAUAAGUUUCAGUAUGAAUAAAAUAGUUUUAGCAUCUUUUUAAUAGUGACAAUAAUUAACAAGGGUAUUUUUAAUAAAAGAGAUGUUAUUUUCAUCGAAUGUUAGCGCAACAUUUUAGAUAUGCGCAUUAGAUAAAUCGAGGACCAAGUGGCAAGUAUGAUCUUAAGCAUGGACGUCUGAUUAGGGUGAACGUUAUAAAGAAAUUUCACAGUAAUUUGUCUUACAUUUAAAUUGUCAAAAAAUCUUCAUAAUAGAAUGAACACUUCAAAAUGUAAAGUUCAAAUGUAAGAGUGGUUUUAGAAAUGAAUAAAACUUCAGUUUUAACGAGAUACUUGCGUUUUUUUAAACAUAACUCUUGAGCGUUUGAAACAAUGUUUUGAACAACUACUAACAGGUUAUCAUCUAAAGUUUUUGAAAAUGGUUUACAUUUUUUGUAUGGUUAUACUUUACUUAAGUGUUAACAUAAUUUUGACGUAUCCUAUAUAUUUUGUACCAUGACAAUGUUCUUUGUUACAAUUUAAAUAAAAUAAAUAAAUGAAUGUGUUCUUUAUGAAAAAAAUAUAUUUCAUUUUGGUGCAAUUUAGAAUAAAUUUUGAACAUUAAAUGAAGAUGCGAUAUCAAAGAGGAACGAGAAAUGGACAAUAAGAAGGUAAAGAACACUUGAAAAAAAGUUUACUUCAACGCAGAAAUUAUCGAAAACAUUCAGCUAUUGAAAAUACAGUAAAUUAAAGCAGUCUUCUUAGUUUCAC